CUACGGAGGGUGCGAGCGUUAAUCGGAAUUACUGAGCGUAAAGGGUGCGUAGGCGGCUUGAUAAGUCGGAUGUGAAAGCCCCGGGCUUAACCUGGGAAUUGCAUUCGAUACUGUCAGGCUAGAGUAUGUCAGAGGUUGGCGGAAUUCCUGGUGUAGCGGUGAAAUGCGUAGAUAUCAGGAGGAACACCAGUGGCGAAGGCGGCUAACUGGGGCAAUACUGACGCUGAGGCACGAAAGCGUGGGGAGCAAACAGGAUUAGAAACCCCAGUAGUCC
rnacentral:rRNA from 1 species